GUUAAUUCCGCAGUGUUACUUCACAUUUACUCUUUUGGAGUUAUGGUAACAACAAAUAGUGAAAGAUACCCCCUAGUGUUGGUGAAAAUUUUGAGUGCUAUGUUCUGGUUCGUUAACUUUACACUGUCAAGCUCCGCCCCUCAAGCUCUCUGAAGAGAAGUUUCGUCGGCGCCAUUUUCUUUUCACUCUCGUCGAAAGGUAAGCUCCUAUUAAAACGUAAUUUUUCCAUUUUGUGUGAAAAAAUGUGAAUACGUGUGUUAUUUUCUACUUCAUACGUUUUAGUUUGAUUAAUUUUGUUGAAUAUAUGUUGGUUUAAACUUUUACAUUUUGAAUAGGCAACUGACCAAAUUCGCGGCAAAUUCAUUCAAUAGAUAAUGUGGUAAUGAUUAGCUUUUAUGUUGUUUCACAGUUUUUUUUGCUAUAUGUAGUUGUUGUUUUUUUAUUUUUAUUAAAAUAAGAUUUUUUUUAACGUAUUUCUUAAUGUAUAUGUCUGAAGAUGGUUGUUUCAAAUAAAAUACCUGCUAAUUAAAGAUUUAUGGCGGUUGAAAUUGCCAUGUUCAAGUAUUUAUGUGGCUUAUGUUUGCAUCCGUUUGAAAUAUAAAUGUUUAACACGUGUAAUUAAGGCAAUAUUGUUUUAAAUGUGUCGAGUUGCCAUGCAUGACAUCAUACACGUUAACUCGAGUUUAGCGUAAAUAACUGGAACAAAUAAUAUCAUAAAACAGAUCGGUAUAACGUUAAUCUUGGUGGUUUAGAUAGAUUCAAUGUGUAACAUAGUUUUCUUGGGUCGAACUCAUGGUCAAACUUCAUAAUUGCAGUUAUAUUAACGCCCGAUAGAGGGCGAUGUGGUCGUACUGUUAGUUCAAAGUUGCACUAAGACGAAGAAGAAUGCUGUAAACGUUACUCUGCGUGUGCUCUGUUGCUUCACUUUGGUUAUACGAAAAAAAAACUUUGGUUACACGGAGUUUUUAGAUGAUUGUUUUUUGUAAACAGUCCGUUAUCAUUAAUAGUCCGUUAUAAAAAAAAAACGCUGUAUUAUUUGACGUUAUUACUGUUACAAUUGCUUCAUGUAAUCACAGCAGAAGUUGUGUAAAUAACGCAAUUUGAACUUUAGCUUCUUUUGUCAGCAAUGGCAGUGUUUGCAUGCUGUGUUGAAGGCAAGCUUAAACUUGAUGAUUGGAAAGUAGGAAGAACAUGCUGGUUAAGGUGAAACUAGGGGAUGCCCAAAAAUUUGUCAAAAUAUCUGAGCUAAGACUGAAGGAUUUUUUUGUCUGCAGCCUUUCUAAAAUUUGGUGUCCCAACUGUGCCCGAGGGAGUGAAGAUUGUUGAUGAAUCGGGGACUGAGGUGGAUGAUGAUGUGUUUGAGGACGUAAUUAAGGAUCCCUCACUUGGAGUUCUCACCAUCAUAUAUGGUGCAGAUGUACUAUCUGCCUCUCCACAAGCCUCUCCUGUGCAGUCAGAUCGGUCACUUUCUUCGUCCACUGACUCCAAUGAAUCACGUGAUACAGUCAUCAUUGCGGAAAGCCCUUCCAGUAAACGAAUGAGGAUAGAUUCCGAAGCCAAAAGGUUGGUAGAAUCCAUUCUGAUCCAGAAACCAGGCGGGGAGCAAAUAAUAAAUGAAUACAACCGAACAAAGUCUUUGGGGGAUGAAACAAGGAGAAAAAUGGUUAACAUCCUGGCCGCUGAUAUGACAGAAAAAAAUGG